CAGCGCCACGAGUGGGAACCACGAUUAUUGGGCCUAAAGCGUCCGUAGCUGGUUUGAUAAGUCUUUUGUGAAAUCGUUGCGCUUAACGUAACGACGUGCAAAAGAGACUGUCAGACUUGGAACCGGGAGGGGUUAGGGGUAUUCCAUGGGGAGCGGUAAAAUGUUAUAAUCCAUGGAGGACCACCUGUGGCGAAGGCGCCUAACCAGAACGGAUUCGACAGUGAGGGACGAAAGCUGAGGGAGCAAUCCGGAUUAGAUACCCGAGUAGUCC
rnacentral:rRNA from 1 species